rnacentral:misc_RNA from 1 species
UACAGAGGGUGCUAGCGUUGUUCGGAAUUACUGGGCGUAAAGGGCGCGUAGGCUGGAUAUUAAGUCAUUUGUGAAAUCCCUGAGCUUAACUUAGGAAUUGCAGGUGGUACUGAUAUUCUAGAGAUUGAUAGAGGAAAGAGGAAUUCCCAGUGUAGAGGUGAAAUUCGUAGAUAUUGGGAGGAACACCAGUAGCGAAGGCGACUUUCUGGGUCAUAUCUGACGCUGAGGCGCGAAAGCGUGGGGAUCAAACAGG